rnacentral:lncRNA from 1 species
ACGACUAUUCCUUUUCCGGCUAUGAAUUCCUCCAAUGUUGAGAGCCCCGAUUCAGCAAACCAUGGGUAAGGGAAGGAAAGGGAUCAGAUUAGGCAGUUCCAAGAGAAGAAAUCAACCGAUCGACCGCUUUUAGACCGGAGUAGGGAAUAGGUCACAUCGCUAGCCGGCGAAGACUAGAUGUCAGAAGAUUCGAAUAAGGAAUAAUAAGUCACCACGCUUAGGGAAAGGAGUUCUUCCGCCCCGGUUAGGCCAGCCAGGAGCUAAGCCCCAAGGGAAAGGUCAGCUGAACGAAGCCAGCUAAGGAAUAAGAGCUGGGGAAGAGCAGGAGAGCAAAAUUGACCGU